rnacentral:rRNA from 1 species
GAUGAACGCUGGCGGCGUGCCUAAUACAUGCCAGUCGAACGCUGGAGCUCUAGCUUUCUAGCUCGAAGGAGUGGCGAACGGGUGAGUAAUACAUAAGCAACCUACCCACGAAGACCGGGAUAAUCUCCGGAAACGGGGACUAAUACCGGGUAGAUAAUCGGAAGGCAUCUUCUGGUUAUUAAAGGUUAAAAAUACUGGUGGAUGGGCUUGUGGCCGAUUGGUUUGUUGGUGAGGUUACGGCCCACCAAGACGAUGGUGCGUAGCCGGGCGGGGGGGGUGAACCACUAGAUUGGGACCGAGGCCCAGCCUAGAAUGCUACGGAGGGGAGCAGAAGGGAAUGCUCGGCGAGGGAGGCAACCCUGGCCGAGCCACGCGGGGUGAGAGAAGACUGCGUUCGGGAUGUAAAGCUCUGUUGUAAGAGAAGAACGGUAGGUAGAGAAUAUCUAAGUGACGGUACCUUACCAGAAAGCCACGGCUAACUACGUG